CCGAAGGGCUGGCGACUCGGACAUGCGAAGGACAUCUUCUCUGACGUGGGUGGUGAAAGUCGCGCGCCGACUAGGGCAUAAGGGGGCCCUGGGUAGGAGGCGCGUUCCGAACGUUCGGGGCUAUACAAGCGACCCGCUGGGGCGCGGCCCUGAGAAGAGGGGGCCGCUAAGGGCGCGCGCCCGCCGGAGGAAAGGAAUCUUCCCGCGCAAACCCCCAAAGAGCGAGUCUCUGGUGCCGCAUUUCAGAUAUUCCUGAUGAGUCUGAGAUUCCAUAGAACACUAGCAAAAAUAACAGAGAAACCUUCAAGACCACUUUCUUUAAGAUAGACCACCUGGUAUGAGAGGAGACCACGUUUUGUCAUCUGGUCCCUAAUAUAUUCUUGUUUUUAUUUUUGAAAAUGUAAAUACAGUGUUUUAGAGAGACCAUUUGUAUGAGAGGUCACUGUUAUCUGGUCCCCGUGGGUGGCCUGUGUGGAUAUAUUUCUUUGCACUGAAAAUUAACAUGUCAGUAAAAAGCACCAGUUUGCUAAUGAACUGGGGAAAAACAGGGCAAAAAUGUCCUUAGGAACUUUGGGGUGGGAACUAUUUAUAAUCCUUAUAUUCCAAAGUCCCACGGAAAGUACUCCUAAAAGAAAACACAAUGAAAUAAAAAAGAGCAAAUGUAUUGCCAUAAUAAUAUUAAUAACAGAAAGAAAAGUGAUAUUAACAUUAUCAAACUAUAAAUAUAACUUUUUUCAUUAAAAACAAAAGGCACACCGCCUGCAGUUCUGGUCAGGUUCUUACACCCCGAAAAGUGAAAACUACAAAUAAAAGAAAUUAACCCCUUCAUUAACCUGAAGAUAUUUCUCUCCUUUGCUAAUACAUUUAUUGCACAAUCUGUGUGACUGAUAUACUUCUUAAGGAAAUUUGCAUCACAUAUUCUUUAAAUGAUAUUUCCUGUCCCCUUCAUCCUUGAAUUAUUUUGGAAGUAGACUUUCUCUGUAAAGGUUCUGCAUAAGGAUGAGAAGAGGUGGAUACUGUAUAAGAUCUCAUAGUCAAUAUGACCUAUCAUUUGUUUAAAGCUUUUGCUGCCUGAUAAAGGUUCUUCAUCAGGGUGGAUUUAAUGCACUGGGACUGCCUAGAGGCAAAUUAGGAUAAUCACAAGUGUGCCUUUCCUGUGGGCAUUCCAGUAUUCCAUACAAUUUCCCCUACAAUGACAAACGUUGACAGGUUUGUGUUCUCAUUAGUUUUUUCAGGACCUGCUCUCUGUUCAGACUAAUAUUGCCAUACUUGGUACAUCCCUGUUUAUGAAGUUAUCCUGAGACAUAGCAGCUAGAGUUCGGACCAGAGCGGGAAGCAUCUUCUUCUGCCCUUCAAAUUACAAUAAAUCUGUGUAAAACCCCUUAAUAUCUUGUAACUGUUAGAAAUUGCACCACUGUGAUCCUUCCAUUCAAUCUUGGAAUACUUCUGUUGAAAUGUACCCACAGACAAGUUUACUUAAGCACUUUAUCAAGACAUCAGAAACAUUUCUGGAAAUCUAAAGACAUCAUUCACAUUAUUUUGUUCUGGUGUGUAGUGCCAACUAAUUCUUCCAAUUUACAUCAUGAAAGACUGAAACUGAAUGGAACUCCAGUAUCCAAAGCCACUGCUUCAUGAAAACAGACUUUCAUCAAACAGCAGAAUUUUUGUCUAUUAUGCCAGGAUAUAAUGUGACUGUACUAACAAGAUAGAAGUUUUGUUUGUGUGUGUGCAAAAGAUUCAUUAAUGUAUAGCUUGUGGAGAGAAUAAAAGGUUAUGAAAGGAUUAAAGAUGGAAUCAUCAAAGGGAAUAGACGGAAGUUUGUCGUCUCGUAACCAGGAAAGGUAGCAAAGCUUUUACCAUGUCCUCUUACAGCUGCUCCCCAAAAUGAAUAUACAAAUUUUUCUUUAAAGAGAUGAUUGUUCAAGAGAGAGAGAGUUUCCUUCUUGUACUGAGAUAGUCCCACAGAAUUAUUGUCUGUAUCUAUGUUACACUUACUUAACGUAUUGGCUGCUAGAAAAGAAACCUAAUUCUUCAUGUGAAGAGUCUGAUGAUGAAAAUAGAAUUUGGGAAAAUGACCAAAAAAAAAAUGUAAUUUUCUAGUUCUGCUGCUGGCCUCUGGAAGGAAGGGACAAAAAAAAACAAAGCAAAAAUGGUUGGUAUGCCCAUCUCCAGUAGCCACACCACGCAUGCUGGUCAAGGACAAUACUCUGGUGUGCAUGACUGAAGAAUUCCUUCAAACUCUUGGAUGGUAAUUUGCAAACAUCUUCAGCAAAUCUUCAGGAAGGAUGUUCUUCUC